ensembl:lncRNA NSUN5P1 NSUN5 pseudogene 1
GCGACAGAGCCGUAAAGGCGCGCGGGAACAUGGGGCUGUACGCUGCGGUGGCAGGCGUGCUGGCCGGCGUGGAGAGCCGCCAGGGCUCUAUCAAGGGGCUGGUGUACUCCAGCAACUUCCAGCCUUGAUGACUUACAAGCCCUCAAGGGGAAGCAUUUUCUCCUGGACUCCUUGAUGCCGGAGCUGCUGGUGUUUCCCGCCCAGACAGAUCUGCAUGAACACCCACUGUACCGGGCCGGACACCUCAUUCUGCAGGACAGGGCCAGCUGUCUCCCAGCCAUGCUGCUGGACCCCUGCCAGGCUCCCAUGUCAUCGAUGCCUGUGCCGCCCCAGGCAAUAAGACCAGUCACUUGGCUGCUCUUCUGAAGAACCAAGGGAAGAUCUUUGCCUUUGACCUGGAUGCCAAGCGGCUGGCAUCCAUGGCCACGCUGCUGGCCUGGGUUGGCGUCUCCUGCUGUGAGCUGGCUGAGGAGGACUUCCUGGCGGUCUCCCCCUUAGAUCCGCGCUAUCGUGAGGUCCACUAUGUCCUGCUGGAUCCUUCCUGCAGUGGCUCGGGUAUGCCGAGCAGACAGCUGGAGGAUCCCGGGGCAGGGACACCUAGCCCGGUGCGUCUGCAUGCCCUGGCAGGGUUCCAGCAGCGAGCCCUGUGCCACGCGCUCACUUUCCCUUCCCUGCAGCGGCUCGUCUACUCCAUGUGCUCCCUCUGCCAGGAGGAGAAUGAAGACAUGGUACCAGAUGCGCUGCAGCAGAACCCGGGCGCCUUCAGGCUAGCUCCCGCCCUGCCUGCCCGGCCCCACCGAGGCCUGAGCACGUUCCCGGGUGCCGAGCACUGCCUCCGGGCUUCCCCCAAGACCACGCUUAGCGGUGGCUUCUUCGUUGCUGUAAUUGAACGGGUCGAGAUGCCGAUCUCAGCCUCACAGGCCAAAGCAUCAGCACCAGAACGCACACCCAGCCCAGCCCCAAAGAGAAAGAAGAGACAGCAAAGAGCCGCAGCCGGUGCUUGCACACCGCCUUGCACAUAGCAGAGGCUCCAGGCUGACUCCUUCCUGGUGGGAAAGGAAGAUGCCUGUCCUCUCCGUGGAGGACCCUGGGCCCUCACCGCAGGCAGCAGUUUGCAUUUUGAAAGGUUAUUGGGUCCCUUCCUCGGGCUGUGUUCUUGCUGGUGAGCAAAAGUGUUGCCUGCAGAAAUAAAAUGCAGAACGUACUCUA